rnacentral:rRNA from 1 species
UUCCGGUUGAUCCUGCCGGAGGUCACUGCUAUUGGGAUUCGACUAAGCCAUGCGAGUCGAGAGGGUUCGGGCCUCGGCUGACGGCUCAGUAACACGUGGAUAAUCUGCCCUUAGGUGGAGGAUAACCUCGGGAAACUGAGAAUAAUACUCCAUAGGUCUAGGAUGCUGGAAUGCAUCUAGACUGAAAACUCCGGUGCCUAAGGAUGAGUCUGCGGACUAUCAGGUUGUAGUCAGGGUAAAGACCUGACUAGCCUACGACGGAUAUGGGUUGUGAGAGCAAUAACCCAGAGAUGAUAUCUGAGACACGAUAUCAGGCCCUACGGGGCGCAGCAGGCGCGAAAACUUCACACUGUGCGAAAGCACGAUGAGGGAAUCCCAAGUGCCAGCUCGUAAGAGUUGGCUGUUUUUCUGUUUAAAGUGCAGAGAGAGUAAGAGCUGGGUAAGACGGGUGCCAGCCGCCGCGGUAAUACCUGCAGCUCGAGUGGUGACCGUUAUUAUUGGGCCUAAAACGUCCGUAGCCGGUUUAGUAAAUGCCUGGGUAAAUCGUGUAGCUUAACUAUACGAAUUCCGGGUAGACUGCUAAACUUGAGACCGGGAGAGGCUAGAGGUACUCCUGGGGUAGAGGUGAAAUUCUGUAAUCCUGGGGGGACCACCAGUGGCGAAGGCGUCUAGCUAGAACGGAUCUGACGGUGAGGGACGAAGCCCUGGGGCGCAAACCGGAUUAGAUACCCGGGUAGUCCAGGGUGUAAACGCUGCUUGCUUGAUGUUAGUCGGGCUCCGAGCCCGAUUAGUGUCGGAGAGAAGUUGCUAAGCAAGCUGCCUGGGAAGUACGGUCGCAAGACUGAACUUAAGGAUUGCGGGGGAGCACAGCACGGGUGGAGGCGUGCGGUUUAAUUGAAAUCAACGCCGGU